CCUACGGGGGGCUGCAGUAAGGAAUAUUGGUCAAUGGACGCAAGUCUGAACCAGCCAUGCCGCGUGGAGGAUGAAGGUCCUCUGGAUUGUAAACUUCUUUUAUUUGGGCAGAAACUCCCGAUUUCCAUCGGGAUUGACGGUACCAGAUGAAUAAGCACCGGCUAACUCCGUGCCAGCAGCCGCGGUAAUACGGAGGGUGCAAACGUUAUCCGUAUUCACUGGGUUUAGGGGGGCAGGUAAGGCGCAGGUAAAAUCUCCGGGCUUAACCCGGAUACUGCCAUUGAUACUAUUUGUCUUGAAUACUCGGGAGGUGAGCGGAAUAUGUCAUGUAGCGGUGAAAUGCUUAGAUAUGACAUAGAACACCCAUUGCGAAGGCAGCUCACUACGGAAAUAUUGACGCUGAGGCACGAAAGCGUGGGGAUCAAACAGGAUUAGAUACCCGGGUAGUC
rnacentral:rRNA from 1 species